rnacentral:lncRNA from 1 species
GUCUUGAACAGCAUGUAGUCAGUCUCACUUUGCAGUGAGACAUCUGAAGACUAAGAUGCCCAAAGUUGUGGUGUUUUACACAGUAUCGCUCCCAAUGCAACUAGGAGGCGUUUCCUAAAGUGUCAGGGGAAGGUAGCUCUCCAAGGUUGUGCCCUGGUACCUGAGACAGUGACAGCGUGGAUUCCCUACCACUGGAGGUGUAAAGAAGCAUGGAUAGCUUCUAAUCAGGAACUGGAGAUGAUACUGCAAGUGUUAAUCGGCCAUUUGGAAACCUCUUGGGAGAAAUACUGCCCAGUGACUCGAAUAAUCAGGCAUCCAGCAUGA